AGAUGGGAUAUUGGGAAGAAAUCCUUCCCUGUGAGGGUGGGGAGGCCCUGGCACAGGGUGCCCAGAGAAGCUGUGGCUGCCCCUGGAUCCCUGCAAGUGUUCCAGGCCGGGUUGGACAGGGCUUGGAGCAGCCUGGGACAGUGGAAGGUGUCCCUGCCCUUGGGUUUUGAGGUCCCUUCCAACCCAAGCCAUCUACGACUUUAUGAGUUUAGGCAAGCUCUGUGCACUCGGCCGGGCUGUACAGAAAAGCUGAAGUUUUCACCCACUCAGGAGUCACUUGGAGGAGCUGGUGUUGGAGGCCGUGAGCACCACCUGGGCACAGCAGCUGCCUCCCAUCCCAAAGGGAACCUCCCGGCUCCGCGGUGACCGAGAGCUUCCAGGGACCCAACUCCUUGGCAGGUUUCUGCCCGUGUUGGCUGAGCACCAUCGCGGAGAGGAAAAAGACACGUUCCAACGCUCCGCCAGCCAUUGUCACUAUGGAAAUGAGCGGGGUCAUUGUUCCCGCGCCCGUUGGGGCUCCUAAAAUGUAAUUUUAGCAGCAAAGUGCGCAGCCUGUGUGUGAAAGCAGGCUGGUGGCGAGGCUCUUUAUCCGGAGCGUGGCUUUUUUCUUUGCCGUAUUUUUCCUUCUUUGUGUUUCCCUUGGAAAAGGCAUCCAAAGACAAAUGUGAGCCGUGGCUGAUUACAAUUAUAUUGAUGGGGGAGGUAGCAAUUUACGGGCAAAUAUCGAAACGUGGAAGAAUGGCUGGUAAUAAUAGGGUGAGGACAAACUGUUCUUUAAUUGUCCUGCAAGUUGUUUUAUAUCUUUGUCAUGCAGAAGCUGGAACUUUUAGGGUGCCAGUGACAAAGUACUUUGCUGUAAUGUGGUAGGGCAGGCUCACAGCAGCCUUUAUCUUACUGAAUAACUACCACCAUUUCAAAGGCUGGGAUUACAGGCACACUUUAUGUUGAAAAGGGGAAUUUACAUGUUUCUUCUGUAAGCAGAAAUCUAUUAAUUCGUGAGAUUUGCCUCCCCUUUCUUCAUCAGCCAUGACCCAGGGGCUUGAUCAAGACAGGAAAGACGUGCAAACCUCUGUUUUUUGUUGUUUUUAGAGACAGGUGUAGGACAUCAAUUUCUAGGCCAUACCCUGGUGGCCACACUCACAGCCUGGCCCAAGAAAUGCCCAUACACAGCACAUGGCUGAAAAUCUGUACCAGCAGAUCAGGGUUUAAAACUCUCAUUUUUUCACCUGUGCUCACAGGCCCAGUGAAACUCAUCAAGGAACUCUUUCAGGAACCUUGUGGAUUUUUUCAGCCAUAAAUAUGAGAUAAUGCCGUACAACUUGACCUUCCCAAACAAAGCUUUUGCAGAAUAAUAUCCACUGGUAUUCAUGAAUAUCAUCUUAUCUGGGCUGGGUUUUUGUCCACUGUAGCUGACCAACUGGUAAGAACACCAGGAAAACUAAGAAAAACCUUUAAAUUAAUUUGAUUUUUCUACAUAUGGAUGAAAUUCAUUGUGUGCUGAGUUCAAGGAGUCACUCCAAGCAUGGAGAUAUCUGUGGUGUCUCAUCUCUUACCUACCCAGGAAUGACCCAGCUCUGCAGCACCUUUGGGGAAGGAAGUUUCCAGCUAAACACCACGAGCUCUGCAUAACCCAUCCUUUCACCUGGCACUUUUUACCCCUGUGCUGGCCAAAACCACACCUGUGAGAGGCCGCCAGCAGGACCCCCAGAAACAGCUGUUGUGUCUGGAAGCUGGAGACAAAGAGGCUCUGCUCAGACACCCCCUCAGAGUUAGAAAAGGCCGUGGCAGAGCAGGAGGAAGGCAGGACAGUCUGCAGACCCCAGGGUGGCCGCCUCGAACCGCUGCGUUCCCCCAGACAAAAUGUGUCACCAGUCCAGAUUGGAGGGUGGGGGAUAUCCUGUCUCCCACCUCCUUUGGCUGGCUCGAAUUUCCCCUGACUGGAAUUAAAAUAAAGAGUCAGGAUGGUGUGUUGCCAGGUUCCCUCAGUGGUGGUCAAACAGGAGCGGCUGCCCAUCCCCGCCCCUCGCUCGUUGGUUUGUGCCUGUAAUCACUGGAUUUCCCAGCUGGUCUCCCAGCCCAGGACCUGUUUAACUCCAGUCAACAAACACGAGUAGGGGAAUUUGGUCCAAGCAGGCAGGUGCAGUGGCUGGAUAGCUUGUGGAUUUCCCUUCUGCCACCAAACAACAGUUACUGCACGUAUGUUGGGAAGAUAAAGCCUUGUUUGCUGUCAGAGGGGGAAAAGGCAGAGGCUCCCUGCAAUUCCUGCUGUCCAGGAGAUGUGGGAGAGAAAGGUGUGUGUGAAAAUAAGGGAGGAUGCUCUCCCAGCAGCUGAGGAGUGAAAGCUGAAGCAUUUUGAUCUCAAAUUCUUGCCAACAGGAAACAGCAGUCGUGGGGUUACAUCUGCGUCCAGCACUGAUGGGAGCAUUAGGCUCAGGUUAGGCUUCCCAAGGAGGAUUCUUAAAAAAUAGGGCAGGUCUAAAAUUUGCUGUGAGCACCAGUAGGGGUGCAAAAAGCCCCUCUGUAAUUCCACUGAGCAAUCUCCAAUUUAGCAAAAAGGAGGGUGGGCAGUAACGUGGCCGUGGGCUGCGAGUGCCCCAGUAACGUGGCCGUGGGCUGCGAGUGCCCCAUGAGGAGGAGAUUUCUGAUCCUGAAAGGAUGAUUAAUUGAGCAGACAAAGCUGAAGUGAGCCUGAAGUGCUAAAAGCUGCAAUUAGACAAACUACGCCUAGAAGAAAGGUUCUGAGUGGAAGGAAUUAAACACUGAGAAAUCUGGCUGGGAUGGCAGAUCCUAGUCCACUCCUCUGCACGGUGAUGGCCACACACACCAUUUUCUCCUCUUGGUGUUCCCUGUUUCUUUUCCAGCUCCCUUUUGUCUUUUCCAGGGGAUGCAGGGGACAUCAGGGCUUGAGAUGACUUAAAUGUCCCUCCAACCAUGAGUGAAGACAGAGAGAAGAGAUCCAGCCUAGCAGGGUUCAGUGUUUACCCACCCAGACCAGCUGGAAAUAUUUGGCUUUCCCCUAAAUAAAGACUCCAAAUUUC